ensembl:lncRNA
GUGAGGUGAAUGGACGUGAGGAAAGGUUGAGGGAACUGGGCUUAUUUAGCUUGGAGAAGAAAAAGCUCCGGGGAGACCUCACUGUGGCCUUCCAGUACUUGAAGGGAGCAUAUAAACAGGAGGGGGAACGGCUGUUUAUGAGAGUGGAUAGUGAUAGGACGAGGGAGAAUGGUUUUAAACUGAGACAGGGGAGGUUUAGGUUAGAUAUUAGGAGGAAGUUUUUCCCCCAGAGGGUGGUGACGCACUGAACAGGUUGCCCAAGGAGGUUGUGGAUGCCCCAUCCCUGGAGGCAUUCAAGGCCAGGCUGGAUGUGGCUCUGGGCAGCCUGGUCUGCUGGUUGGCGACCCUGCACAUAGCAGGGGGUUGAAACUCGAUGAUCUUUGAGGUCCUUUUCAACCCAGGCCAUUCUAUGAUUCUGUGGUUUAGGAAGAGAGCUGAUGAGUGCCAUGCUGGAGCCCUGAUCUGCAUGGACAACGUCAGAGUUGCAUAAUGACCUGACCAAGGCUCACACCGAGCAGUUUGUAAGAGAUGACUUUCAGAUGAAUCAAAAGGCAGCCUCCCCUUCCCACGCUGACCUCCUUGGCCAGCCUGUUUGGAGCUGCCCUAAGCUGAAAAUCUCAUCUAUCUUUUACCAUUACAUUUUCAAAAGACUGUGGGUUGAAAAGAACAAAGAAAAGCUACCAUUAAAGUCUGGCUCAGCUACUAUCGUCUCUUGCUGGUUUUGGAAACAAAGUAAAGAGAUGUCAGUGGAACAUUUCAGCUCACUGUCAUUAAUACAGUUGGGCUGUCCUGGAAGAAUGGCUCCCUCGAAAUUCAGAACAUAGUUUCUCUGGCUUUCUAGGUAAAACCAAUCAGAUCCCAGACUGAGCAGGGGAACAAGGCAAAGAAAUGGUGGAAGAAAAUGAGACUUUUAGCUACACCACACAAAACAUCUGAAGCAGCAGAGGUGCAGGAAAAUUAGGAGGUGUGCCCAAAGCUACCUUGGGCAGGGAACACAGGCAGGAGCUGACAGCACACUUGCAAGGCCCACUCCUCCCUCCGAGGCACACAACUGAUUGGGGAAGGUUGGCUCUGCACUCUGGAUUUCACUGGUUCUUGUGUUCCCAGUUCAUACUGGGAUGAGUAGGCAAGAGCAAAGGACGUAGCCAUUGGCACGGCGGUACUACUGGGAAGCACUGCAGUGAAAGCUGUACUUCUCUGCCCUGGCCAAGAACCACAGUUCUGAAGAUUUCCUAUGGGCUUUUUCAAUCUUUGCACUCCAAGAUUCUGAGGCGAGUGAUGAGCUCACCAAUGUUGGUAAAAAUGAAUUUGAAAGUCUAACUGGUUAUCACUGGAUAUCACAGAUGGAGAAUAAUUACUUCACAGAUUGGCAAACUGAGAUUAUCUGCAAAUAUUAUGAGAGACAUUGGAAGCUCUUCUAAAACACGCCAUUAUUUUAAAUAGCAUUUUGCAAUUGUGGUACCUCCCUUGUGGAUACUGUGGCUGAAUAUUGCAAGUAUGAAAAACAAUGCCAUAGUUGAAGGUUUGUCGCUGAAAAGCACCACCUCGUGUUUCCUACACCCCGCUUCCCACAGCAAGACUUAUUCUAGAGUAGAAAAUAAAUGAAGAGGUAAUAAUUAACUAAAUGUGUCUCAAAUACAAGAAAUCCUACACAGAGCUAUAUUGUUCACCUUUAAUCGCUGCAAAUGAAAUGAUGUUUGGUGGAUUUCCUGCAGGUUACCAAGAGGCAGACGGUUAAACCUUUUGCCUUGAGAUGUGCUCCUUCUCCCAUUAUUGGCCUUCAUCUUCUGAGCUCAGCUUACAGAGAGGUCAGUUUAGUCUCUGAAAUCUAAUUUCAAGAAUAAGCCACAAACAACAAAGAAUGCUGCCAGACUCUGUUCAGUCACGACGAUAAUAGUUUUCCUCCACUCAGCAUCUCAGCUGGUGAUUAUUCUUGAUAAAUGCAAAGCCCAUCUGUACAUUAUUGUGUCUAAACAACAAACCUGUAGCCAUGAGAGCAAUGGCUUGACCAAAGUGUUGCACUCAGGUCAGGGUAAUUCCUGAUACAUGUACAGACUGGGAGAAGAACUCAUUGAGGGCAGCCCUGCGGAGGAGGACCCGCAGUCUCUGAUAGAUAAAAGGCUUGACAUGAGCCACCAGUGUGCUCUUGCAGCCCAGAAGGCCAACAAUAUCCUGGUCAGCAUCAACAGAGGGGUGGCCAGCAGGGAGAGGAAGGUGAUUAUUCCCCUCUGCUCUGCCUUCAUGAGGCCCAGUACUGCAUUCAGACCUGGGGCCUCCAGCACAAGAAAGAUGUGGAGCUGUUGGAGAAUGUCUAGAUGAGGGCCACGAAGAUGCUCAGAGGGCUGGAGCACCUCUCCUGUGAAGAAAGGCUGAGGGAGCUGGGCUUGUUCAGCCUGGAGAAGAGAAGGCUCCGGGGACACCUCUCUGUGGCCUUCCAGUACUUGAGAGGAGUUUAUAAACAGGAGGAGAACCAACAUCUCACACAGUCUAAUAGCGAUAGGACAAGGGAAAAUGGCUUUAAACUAAAAGUGGGGAGAUUUGGGUUAGAUGUUAGGCAGAAAAUCUUUACUCAGAGGGCGGUGAGGCCCUGGCACAGCUGCCCAGAGAAGCUGUGGGUGCCCCAUCCCUGGAGGCACUCAGGGCCAGGUUGGAUGGGGUCCUGGGCAGCCUGAGCUGGUGGGGGGCAGCCCUGCCCAUGGCAGAGGGUUGGGGCUGUGUGGGCUUUGUGGUCUCUUCCAACUCAAGCCGUUCUAUGGUUCUUUGAUCUAUGAUUCCUGUGGCUCUUUUCAAAAAUGCAACAAACUAUUGAUAUUUUCAGACCAGAAAGCUAAACCAAAGUGUUUCUUGCCUCCUCCUAAAAUGGUUUGAAAAAACCCUCUGAUUCUUAAACUUAGAAAUAUUAGUCCCAUGUUCUUUGUGAGAUUAGAAUCAGAAUCACAGAAUCGCAGUGGUUGGAAGGGACCUCUGGAGAUCAUCCAGUCCAUACUCACCUGAUAAUACCAGUUCCCAAGAGUAAGUUGCAAGAGUUAGAGGAAGAGACUCUGAAAAUCUUCUUUUCUGAUCUCCUGUAUAAUCCAGUACAGAGAAUUUCACAAAAUCAGUGGCAAAUUUCUGUCUUAUUAGCAGUGUUGGCUCCUUGUACUCCACACAGCCCUCACUCACCCCUUUUGAUGUCAGCUGAAAGGGUGCUGUUGAAUUGGAGAGGACCCGUACAGAAGACAGCAGUUCCUGGAGUCCUACAAGACUCUGUCAGGGAGAUCUUGGUAUUUUACCUCAUACCUUCUUCAAAAAUGAUAAACCAGAAGACAAGUAAACUGUGUUACAACAUGAAGGAUAAAAUCCAUAAUUCAGGACAGCACAGAAAGCACCUGGUUUCGUGCUUCAUUUCCAUUUCUAAACAUAGAAGAGAUUCACAGAAGCAUCUGCUGAGCUUUUGAAUGACUUUGGAUCAGCCGUAAGUGCCUGUAUGCCAAAAGCAAACCAAACACACACAUGAAAACAGGCAAAUUGCAGUGACACAGGUCAGUUUACAUCCCAAACCGAUAGCAAGUCUGCUUUGGUGACGAAUGCACCCAAUAGAAAGAAUGCAGAAACUUUGCAUGUUCUUCACAACAUGAGAAUGCUGAACAUUAAACAGUUGCAAAAAAUAUGUACUUAACCUUUGGGUUUUAUAUCUCUGCUUUUCAUUCUCUCCGCUUAUAGAUAAGGACAGUCAGAUUAGAUGGAGAUUUGCAAGUGGUAAAAGACGUUGUUGUUCAAGGAAUAGUUUCUAUUCGUUAUGGUAAAUACUUGGUCAAAGCAAAACUUGAGAUUUUGGGAUAGCCACGUUGUGUGCCGAGAUCACUGAGUUACAGCCUGAGGGCCACAGCAAAAUCAGGGGAAAUUUCAGAGAGCAGAUCAGACCUUUUGGAGUGUCGUUGACUGUACAGAAGAAAUGUCUUCAUUUGCUUGGUUUGAAGGGCUCCCAGGGAAAAAAAAAAAAAAAGUUUAUAUAUAUUACCUGGAGUACAGAAAUAAUGAGAAAUGUCAAUCUUGCUCUCUGCUUGCCUGGGGGAUUUUCUUCUCCUCAGAGGGGUGCAAUAUUCACCUCUGCUG